GAUGAACGCUGGCGGCGUGCCUAAUACAUGCAAGUCGAGCGAACAGACGAGGAGCUUGCUCCUCUGACGUUAGCGGCGGACGGGUGAGUAACACGUGGAUAACCUACCUAUAAGACUGGGAUAACUUCGGGAAACCGGAGCUAAUACCGGAUAAUAUAUUGAACCGCAUGGUUCAAUAGUGAAAGACGGUUUUGCUGUCACUUAUAGAUGGAUCCGCACCGCAUUAGCUAGUUGGUAAGGUAACGGCUUACCAAGGCAACGAUGCGUAGCCGACCUGAGAGUGUGAUCGGCCACACCGGACCUGAGACACGGUCCAGACUCCUACGGGAGGCAGCAGUAGGGAAUCUUCCGCAAUGGGCGAAAGCCUGACGGAGCAACGCCGCGUGAGUGAUGAAGGUCUUCGGAUCGUAAAACUCUGUUAUUAGGGAAGAACAAAUGUGUAAGUAACUAUGCACGUCUUGACGGUACCUAAUCAGAAAGCCACGGCUAACUACGUG
rnacentral:rRNA from 1 species